GUGCUCUCUUUGGCAGCACAUGUCCUAAAAUUGGAACAGUACAGAGAUUAGCAUGGCCCUGCACACAGAUGACAUGUAAAGUCGUGAAGUGUUCCAUAUUUAA
ensembl:snRNA U6 U6 spliceosomal RNA